CAAAAAUCCAUACAUUAAAAGCCCGCGGGUCCCUCCAAACAACCACUGAUCCACCUUCUAUUUUAACACCCGCUGGGAAGGACCCGUGAGCAUUCAUACGCCCACUAAAAAGCCACUGGAUCUCUUCUUCUUCUUCUUCCUCUUCUCCUUCUUCUUUAUCCAUUAAGUUCCGAUCACAUAUUUAUAUACUUUUACAUAUCAUCUAAAUUUGA
rnacentral:lncRNA from 1 species